UUAUAUUUCAGCGUAUAAACUACAAAAAACAUUGGUUUGCAUUAUACAUUCGCCAUUUUACGCAGCUACUCGUCGGCUGUUGUGUGUUAUCGCUCCGGGUAAAAACAAAACAAAAACAAACCUAUUCUAUCUCGUGAGCUCUCUGUUCACUUCCUACCAACAACAUGGGCAAAGCGAAGGCAGCUGUCCUCCCUGAGGAGAGACGAUUUUCCAAGCGGCUGGCUGCUGUGAACCCUCCUAAAGCAGUGGAAGCCAAGAAAAAGCCUGCUGUAAAAAAGGCGCUGAAAGCAAAGAAGACCAAACUAACUGAAAAUGGCGGCGCCAAGGCUGAGGAGCCAAAGGCCGAUGCCGCGGAAGCCAAAUGAAUAACAGUUGAUGUGCUCAGUCUGUGUACUUGGUGAUUGUACAGUUUUAAAUUAGUAUUUUUUACCAAGUUUUAUAUUACAAAUGUCAUUUAUAUGUUUGUUUUGGGCUUGCACUUGUAACAAAAGUUUGUUGUCACAUUCAUAUCCAUUUUAUACCCAUAAAAAUGAUUACCGUCCAUAUCUGGUAGACGUGGCAUUUUUAGUUUGUCUAAUCCUGUUUGUUUUUGUUGUUUUUUUUAAACUGCUGAGUAAUGGAUAUUUUCCACCAAGUUGGAAUUUAAAUCCAAUUUUAAACAUUAUAAGGCAGCUAAAGCCUAUUGUUAAAAUUUGAGGUAAAAUAGGAAUUUUGCCUUCUAUCCUUGUAGAAAUUGCUUACCAAAUGUUUUGAAACACUGUAUGUUGAAAAAAGUUCCAGUCAGUAAAAAAUACCACAAAAAAAACUGUUAUUAGGUCAAAACGAUUGAAACAUCCCCAAAACAUGUAUGACGUGAACCUGGUCAUCUGAUGAAAAGUCCUGUUAAGUUAUGUUUCUCUUCGACUGAUGCUUUUCUGACUUUAAUUGUUGAUCUAAAUGUUCUUGAAUAAAAAUUGUCAAAUGUU